CCUACGGGUGGCAGCAGUGAGGAAUAUUGGUCAAUGGACGAGAGUCUGAACCAGCCAAGUAGCGUGAAGGAUGACUGCCCUAUGGGUUGUAAACUUCUUUUAUAUGGGAAUAAAACGUUCCACGUGUGGGAUUUUGUAUGUACCAUAUGAAUAAGGAUCGGCUAACUCCGUGCCAGCAGCCGCGGUAAUACGGAGGAUCCGAGCGUUAUACGGAUUUAUUGGGUUUAAAGGGAGCGUAGGUGGAUUGUUAAGUCAGUUGUGAAAGUUUGCGGCUCAACCGUAAAAUUGCAGUUGAAACUGGCAGUCUUGAGUACAGUAGAGGUGGGCGGAAUUCGUGGUGUAGCGGUGAAAUGCUUAGAUAUCACGAAGAACUCCGAUUGCGAAGGCAGUUCACUGGACUGCAACUGACACUGAGGCUCGAAAGUGUGGGUAUCAAACAGGAUUAGAUACCCUUGAGUC
rnacentral:rRNA from 1 species